AAGAAACAAACCAAAUAUAAGAACCCUUCUGCCAAAAUAAAUAGUCUGAUAAAAAGUUAUAAAUAUUUGAAAUUGAUAUCAUGUUUUUUCUUUAGAAUCAUAUUCUUAAUUCUAUUCUCAAUUUUGAUGUCGAAAAGAGAUGGAAACAAUAUAAAACUACAACAGGAAAGCACAAGAAACAACCGAAAUAUAAGAACUCUUCUGCCAAAAUAAGUAGCCUGAUAAAAAGUUAUAAAUAUUUCAAAUAAAGAUAUCAUGUUUAUUAAUUAAUUAACAUAAAUGUGUCAAAAUUUUAAAUUCCCUGAAUGUCUAGGUUUACUGUUAAAUUUGACUGCUAUAGCAGUAGUAUCCCAUGGUGCGAUUACACUUGACGUAUAAUCAAGAAAUAAUAUCUAAUUAUCAUAAUUAUACAUUAUUUAUCUCACAAUUAAAUUUGUCACAUACUUAUAAAAUAUCCUCCAAAAUUCAUUAGUCCUUUAUUUUUGCUGGAUAAUUGAAAAGUUUGUCGGAACUCCGUCGCCAUCUUACUUAAGAUGGUGUUAGACAUUUUGAACAGGAACAUAUCAGUUUGUUAAUUUCUCCUAACAAACUGUUAAUCCGACUGUACAAAUUACAUGUAAUAUCCCAGAUAGAACAAACUGACAUCUGCAAUACAUAUUCUUUAAUUUAGUGUCAUCCUGAUUUUAAAUGGGAAUCAUGUCUCCACAUUGCAGAAAAUUGUCUCAACUUUGGUGUAAACUUCAAGUGUCAACCAUCGAACCACUCCGUCAAAAUUUCAUGAAGUAAUAUGGCGUAAACGUCCGUAAUUCCAUAGAUGUUCGGAAUUACUCUACCGUUACGGACCAAGGUUACCUCGAUUCAAUACUGGAUGUGCGACAGACCUAUAGUAUAAUUGUUAAGUGAAGCUCAAAACAUUUUUUUUAAACUAGUAA
rnacentral:lncRNA from 1 species